rnacentral:lncRNA from 1 species
AGUUAAACCACAGCUACUUCACAUUCAUAAAUGUGAAGGAGAUGACAUAUUUAAAAUAUAGUAUCUUAUAGUUCCUCGGCGCAUUCUUCAAUCUCACAACAUUUUCCCCAUUCUCCCAUGAUAUUUGCUAGGCCUUGGAGGGAGAGAUGCCUGUGUGUGACACAGGGAUGGAUGCUCAGCUGUCACCUAUUCUCAGCACUUUGGCAAUACAAGUCUCGACAUCAUCAAGUACCACCCAUCAUAAGAAGCAGCUUGGAACAUUCUGUGCUUUGUGAUCCAUAGAACCUGUGUGAGAAAUCAGCCAUUCUGCCAUGUCACCUAUUCCUAUGGUGCUUGUAAGGAUUUGAGAAGUUUGUAUCAGGAAGUUGGGAGUUGAAUUAGAGGCAAUCUUACCAUUGAGACCAUGUAUUAUUUCUAUGGGACUGUGAAGUAGUUACUGUCCCAGUGAAGCUUUCUUUUUCAGGACACAAUGACUCUGAAACUUUAAGUCCAUUGUUUGAGUGAUGUAUUGGUGAAGGGGAGAAAUCCUGCCUCCUAUGCCUUAAUAGUCACAUCAAAUAAUUUGAAAGGGAAGGGUUGAUAACUUGAUGACCAACUGCAGCAUCUUGAUGAAAAUAUAUUCAAUGAAACUCAGAUUAUUUAAAAUAUAUUUCCUGUGACCAGCAUCAGUUUCCUCUAGCAAUCCAAUUCACCCGAUUCUUCAAGCAAACUAUCAACAGGUGAUGCCACUCUUCUGGAAACCUGACCACUCAUGCCACGUGAGAGCACUGAAGCAAAUAGCUGCACAAGCCUUUGAAGUAGCCUCUGCAUAGGAAACUGGACACUCUACGGAAAAAAAAAUGACAGCCUGGCUUUUCAAAGAUGGAAUUUAUCAUAACAGUCCACUUCUAAACGACUCUUGCACUGUGCAUGCUGAAGAAUAUAGACAAAAUGUCAACCGCAACAGGAUCCGGGUUUCUAGGC